rnacentral:rRNA from 1 species
UAGGGAAUCUUCCACAAUGGACGCAAGUCUGAUGGAGCAACGGCCGCGUGAGUGAAGAAGGUUUUCGGACCGUAAAGCUCUGUUAUUGGUGAAGAAGGAUAGAGGUAGUAACUGGCCUUUAUUUGACGGUAAUCAACCAGAAAGUCACGGCUAACUACGUGCCAGCAGCCGCGGUAAUACGUAGGUGGCAAGCGUUGUCCGGAUUUAUUGGGCGUAAAGCGAGCGCAGGCGGAAGAAUAAGUCUGAUGUGAAAGCCCUCGGCUUAACCGAGGAAUUGCAUCGGAAACUGUUUUUCUUGAGUGCAGAAGAGGAGAGUAGAACUCCAUGUGUAGCGGUGGAAUGCGUAGAUAUAUGGAAGAAUACCAGUGGCGAAGGCGGCUCUCUGGUCUGCAACUGACGCUGAGGCUCGAAAGCAUGGGUAGCGAACAGGAUUAGAUACCCUGGUAGUCCAUGCCGUAAACGAUGAGUGCUAAGUGU